rnacentral:misc_RNA from 1 species
GUUCUGGAUAUGGGUAGCCCGGGAAGUGAUAUGACUGGAUUGUCCAGGAAUCAUUCUCCUGAAUAUGACGUUCAGUUGUACAUUUCAGCUUUUGAACAAACCAAAAAUAGGUAUCCUUGGUUGGUUUCUCUGUUGAACCAGUGCAAUGUCCCGAUUUUUGAUGCUGCUUUCUUUGGCUGUGCUGCCUCAUGUAAUUGUGUCCCUUCACCCGGUCAGUCACUUGGGCAAGUUAUUGCUUCUAAGCUUGUUGCAGCUAAGCAUGCUGGCUAU